GCACCACAACAGGUGGAGCCUGCGGUUUAAUCGGACUCAACGCCGGGAAACUCACCAGAUAAGACAGCUGAAUGAUAGUCGGGCUGAAGACUCUACUUGACUAGCUGAGAGGAGGUGCAUGGCCGUCGUCAGUUCGUACUGUGAAGCAUCCUGUUGAGUCAGGCAACGAGCGAGACCCACGCCAACAGUUGCCGAGCUCGUCCUCCGGGAUGGUGGGGACACUGUUGGGACCGCCUCUGCUAAAGAGGAGGAAGGAAUGGGCAACGGUAGGUCAGCAUGCCCCGAAUUAUCUGGGCUACACGCGGGCUACAAUGGGCGGGACAAUGGGUAUCGACACCGAAAGGUGAAGGCAAUCUCCUAAACCCAUCCGUAGUUCGGAUUGUGGGCUGCAACUCGCCCACAUGAAGCUGGAAUCUGUAGUAAUCGUGUCUCAAAAUGGCACGGUGAAUAUGUCCCUGCUCCUU
rnacentral:rRNA from 1 species